CCUACGGUGGACUGCAGUGGGGAAUAUUGCACAAUGGGGGAAACCCUGAUGCAGCGACGCCGCGUGAGCGAUGAAGUAUUUCGGUAUGUAAAGCUCUAUCAGCAGGGAAGAAAAUGACGGUACCUGACUAAGAAUCCCCGGCUAACUACGUUCCAGCAGCCGCGGUAAUACGUAGGGGGCAAGCGUUAUCCGGAUUUACUGGGUGUAAAGGGCGCGUAGACGGCGAUGCAAGCCAGAUGUGAAAGCCCGGGGCUCAAACCCGGGACUGCAUUUGGAACUGUAUAGCGGGAGUGUCGGAGAGGCAGGCGGAAUUCCUAGUGUAGCGGGGAAAUGCGUAGAUAUUAGGAGGAACACCAGUGGCGAAGGCGGCCUGCUGGACGAUGACUGACGUUGAGGCUCGAAAGCGUGGGGAGCAAACAGGAUUAGAUACCCUAGUAGUC
rnacentral:rRNA from 1 species